rnacentral:rRNA from 1 species
CAUGCAAGUCGAACGAAGUAGCAAUACUUAGUGGCAGACGGAUGAGUAACAUGUAGGUAUCUGCCCUUUGGCCUGGAAUAACACGAGGAAACUUGUGCUAAUACCGGAUAAGUCUUUACGGAGAAAGCUUUAUGCACCAUUGGAUGAGCCUGCACUUGAUUAGUUUGUUGGUGGGGUAAUGGCCUACCAAGACUUUGAUCAAUAGCUGAUUUGAGAGGAUGAUCAGCCACAUUGGGACUGAGACACGGCCCAAACUCCUACGGGAGGCAGCAGUGGGGAAUCUUGCACAAUGGAGGAAACUCUGAUGCAGCGAUGCCGCGUGAGUGAAGAAGGCCCUUGGGUUGUAAAGCUCUUUCGUCGGGGAAGAAAAUGACUGUACCCGAAUAAGAAGGUCCGGCUAACUUCGUGCCAGCAGCCGCGGUAAUACGAAGGGACCUAGCGUAGUUCGGAAUUACUGGGCUUAAAGAGUUCGUAGGUGGUUGAAAAAGUUGGUGGUGAAAUCCCAGAGCUUAACUCUGGAACUGCCAUCAAAACUUUUCAGCUAGAGUAUGAUAGAGGAAAGCAGAAUUUCUAGUGUAGAGGUGAAAUUCGUAGAUAUUAGAAAGAAUACCAAUUGCGAAGGCAGCUUUCUGGAUCAUUACUGACA